AACAGGCUGGUUCCGCCCAAGAGUUCAUAUCGACGGCGGAGUUCGGCACCUCGAUGUCGGCUCAACUUAUCCUCCUGCUGGAGAAGGUGGGAAGGGUUUGGCUGUUCGCCAAUUAAAAAGUUACGCGAGCUGGGUUCAGACCGUUUAGAAGUGAAUUUAUAAUUGACUUCUAAACAAAUCUGAAUCCAUAACAUUGAAAGAGUUAUUCUUUUUCGUCUAAGGAAGAAAAUAUUAAAUUUUAAAGAAUUUUAAACCAAUCAAAUCACGGCGGUCGUGAGGAGCGAUCCUCAUAGCUAAAGUUGACUUAUAUCGGUGGAACCAGCCCAAGGUUGGCAAUACCGAGGGAACUAAAAAGCCCGUAGAGACUGAAUGUCAGCCUCCCCCACUUCGCAGAGUGAGGGAUGAAGUUACAGUCCGUGCUAUUGGUAACAGUAGAUAACAUGCGUGAGACAGGUUGGUCUCCUAUCUGCUGCAGGCGUCGAUUUUUGAGAAGAUUUAUUCCUAGUACGAGAGGACCGGAAUGAACUGACCUCUGGUGUGGGAGCUGUUCCGCCAGGAGCACCGCUCCGUAGCUAUGUCGGGA
rnacentral:rRNA from 1 species